GACGAACGCUGGCGGCGUCCUUAACACAUGCAAGUCGAACGAUGAAGCUAGAGCUUGCUCUGGUGAAUUAGUGGCGAACGGGUGAGUAACACGUGAGUAACCUGCCCCGAACUCUGGGAUAACUGCUGGAAACGCUAGCUAAUACUGGAUACGACCUACGAAGGCAUCUUCUGUAGGUGGAAAGAAUUUCGGUUCGGGAUGGACUCGCGGCCUAUCAGCUCGUUGGUGAGGUAAUGGCUCACCAAGGCGACGACGGGUAGCCGGCCUGAGAGGGUGACCGGCCACACUGGGACUGAGACACGGCCCAGACUCCUACGGGAGGCAGCAGUGGGGGAUAUUGCACAAUGGGCGCAAGCCUGAUGCAGCAACGCCGCGUGAGGGAUGACGGCCUUCGGGUUGUAAACCUCUUUUAGUAGGGAAGAAGCGAAAGUGACGGUACCUGCAGAAAAAGCACCGGCUAACUACGUGCCAGCCGCCGCAGUAA
rnacentral:rRNA from 1 species